UCUUCUCAGCUGCAGGCAGACUGUGGCUGAAUCAGAAGGUAGACGCCGUGAGGAGGCCUAGUUUAAUGUGGUGUUUUCUCUUUAACCACAACUAAGAGGAAACGGGGUGAAGGCCAGAGCAUGGCGGAGCAUGAGCGUCAACUCCGUCUCUUCCUCCACUGUGCCUGUGACCUUUUUUUCUUGGGCUCCAGCAUGUGUCCCUAGACCCUUCCUCACACUAAAGGUGCCCAUGAAGAGCCAUUCACCUAAGGCCAGUUGAGAUGACCUUUCUGAAAAGGUUGUUCGACCCAAAGGGGUCUCGGCCCAUAUGCUGAGAGCCGCUGUUUUAGCAGCCAAGCUGAGAUGGGAUCAUUUGUAAAGUAGCUCCCUGAAGCCUCAAGCAGCUCUCAGAUGGCUGAUCACCUUUAAUCUGUGGACGAGGAAGCUGGAGGCCCAGAGAUGGAACUGAGUACCCCAAGUGGCAGACCAGCUUUCCCGAAUGAAAGUGCGUGCUUUUCUGCAAGCCUGCUGCCCGCCUAUGACAUACAAUAGCAAUAAUUACCUAAUAUGAAUCACUGACACCCUAGCUGCAUGAAUGCACAUUAUCUCAUUUAGUUCUCCCGUCGGGCACAUGAAUAACUGAUAUUUUCUUCAUAUUAAAGGUAAGAAAAGUGAAGCAGAAAGAGCAAAGUAGGUAGUUCACCAUCACAA